rnacentral:rRNA from 1 species
UACGAAGGGGGCUAGCGUUGCUCGGAAUCACUGGGCGUAAAGGGCUCGUAGGCGGCCCACUAAGUCAGACGUGAAAUCCCUCGGCUUAACCGGGGAACUGCGUCUGAUACUGGAGGGCUUGAGUUCGGGAGAGGGAUGCGGAAUUCCAGGUGUAGCGGUGAAAUGCGUAGAUAUCUGGAGGAACACCGGUGGCGAAGGCGGCAUCCUGGACCGACACUGACGCUGAGGAGCGAAAGCCAGGGGAGCAAACAGG